rnacentral:RNase_P_RNA from 1 species
GCUAGGGGCCGGGGAAUUACUUCGGUAUUACACCGGAGAGGAAAGUCCGGACAGCAGAAAGCAGGGUGUCCACCGAAAGGCGGAGAUACUAUCGAAAGAUAGUAGCCAGUUAGAGCAACAGUGACGAUGCGUGCGGCGCCGCGUGAAACGACCAAGCGACUGGGUUCCCGGUGUUACACCGGGGGGCAAUCCUCCCCGCUGCAAUCUUCGAUUAGCUCGUUUGAGGCGCUUUCCCGAGAGCUAAGGUCAAGAGCAUUAGAGAGAUUAUUUCCGAGAAACAGAAUCCGGCUUACGAACCUCUAGCGCCA